AUAUGAUUUUGACAUCUAAUCGUUUACUUAGGAAAAACUGAGUCGAAAAUAUUCACGUGAAUUUCGUUUGCACGUAACUUCAAUAAAAAAAAUGGGCGCAUCAGUUAUACCUUUUGUCAUUUUCACCGUUUUAUGGGGUGGUAUAGGUAUAAUUUUACCCAUAUUUGUACCUAAAGGACCUAACAGAGGAAUUGUACAAGUAAUUUUGAUGUUAACGGGAGUGUGCUGCUGGUUGUUUUGGUUGUGUUGUUAUGUAGCCCAAAUGAACCCACUUAUUGGUCCAAAACUGGAACAAAAUAUUAUACUCAUUAUGGCUGAAAAAUGGGAGUAGGAAUGUUAUAAAACAUCUAUUCUUUUAGCAAUAGGACUCACCUUAUUUGAGGGUAACGCUGUCACAGAAUAACAAAAAUGUGGUAGAUUAAAUUGAAAGAACGGUAAAUAUCACAGUGUAGUGUAUCCCAAAAUUAAUUUCCCUACAGUUAAACGUUGUAUUAUAUUUAUUUUUUAUUUCUUGUAACAUACUCCUUUUAUCUUUAUCAUAAAUUAAUUAUACAGUACAAUAUUUUCUCUGAAUAUAUAAAAAAAAAUCCAUUUUGUUAAUAUUGUCGUAAAAGAUGGACAUUUUAAAAUAAAAUAUAAUUGUCGAA